GAUGAACGCUAGCUACAGGCUUAACACAUGCAAGUCGAGGGGAAACGACAUUGAAGCUUGCUUCGAUGGUCGUCGACCGGCGCACGGGUGAGUAACGCGUAUCCAACCUGCCUCUGACCAAGGGAUAACCCGUCGAAAGUCGGCCUAAUACCUUAUGCAGUCGUCGGAAGUCAUCUGAUGACGACGAAAGAUUUCAUCGGUGAGAGAUGGGGAUGCGUCUGAUUAGCUUGUUGGCGGGGUAACGGCCCACCAAGGCAACGAUCAGUAGGGGUUCUGAGAGGAAGGUCCCCCACAUUGGAACUGAGACACGGUCCAAACUCCUACGGGAGGCAGCAGUGAGGAAUAGUGAUCAAUGGGCGAGAGCCUGAACCAGCCAAGUAGCGUGCAGGAUGACGGCCCUAUGGGUUGUAAACUGCUUUUAUGCGGGGAUAAAGUGAGGGACGUGUCCUUCAUUGCAGGUACCGCAUGAAUAAGGACCGGCUAAUUCCGUG
rnacentral:rRNA from 1 species